GAACACAGGGCUCUGUCUCUGUCUCUCCUUUUUUUAAUCACUUGGUGACUGACAGCUGUUCAUUCCCUCCCUGAAGACCAUUCUGCCAGCCUCCCGAGGGUCAUCUCUUCUCUGUUAAUGGCCGAGAUCCUGUAUUCUUCCAUUGUCACAGCUCCCACUCACUGUGGCAACAGCAGCAAGUCACAAAAAAACCUGUACAGUGGGAUAAUAUAAUGAGAAGAAAAUUGAUAGAACCACAAGAAAACUUGCAAACAUUAGGCAUCAAUUGCUUCUCAGCAACAUGCCUUUCUGUGAGCUAAUUAACCAUUUACACAUGCUUAAGCAAGUGUGAAACAGCUGUGAAGAAUGUUUCAGCAAAUGAGGUAAUAAAAGUAUUGGUGUCAAAUUAGACUCACUGUCAAUGACUUUUAACGCUGAUGACAAUGUGUCACAAGUGAGAUGGUACUUGUGUCCCUUCUCCAUUCUCUACCUGGCAAUUUACAGAACAGACUGGAUACUCUACAAACUGUGAUUAUCUACACUGGACAACUGAGGGAACAGAGCAGAUGCCCCACAUACUGUGAUUAAGCUCAACUAUGGCUGCUAAAGAGGCAGAAAUUUCCAUCAGAUCCCCAGAUGCCUGCUUCCUUGCAGAAGGGAGGUGGAACCUUGAUUUAACCAUGAAGGAUGGGACCUCCAAGAGAGCAU